rnacentral:tRNA from 1 species
UGCUCAGGUGGUGGAAUGGCAGACACGCUGGAUUCAGGUUCCAGUGCCCAUAAAGCGUAAGGGUUCAAGUCCCUUCCUGAGCACCC